CCUACGGGAGGCAGCAGUGGGGAAUAUUGCACAAUGGGGGAAACCCUGAUGCAGCAACGCCGCGUGAACGAUGAAGGCCUUUGGGUCGUAAAGUUCUGUUCUAGGUGAUGAAAACUGACAGUAACCUAGGAGAAAGCCCCGGCUAACUCCGUGCCAGCAGCCGCGGUAAUACGGAGGGGGCAAGCGUUAUCCGGAAUUAUUGGGCGUAAAGGGUACGUAGGUGGCCUUUUAAGCGUAGGGUAUAAGGCAAUGGCUCAACCAUUGUUCGCCCUAUGAACUGGAAGGCUUGAGUGCAGGAGAGGAAAGCGGAAUUCCUAGUGUAGCGGUGGAAUGCAUAGAUAUUAGGAGGAACAUCAGCGGCGAAGGCGGCUUUCUGGACUGCAACUGACACUGAGGUACGAAAGCGUGGGGAGCAAACAGGAUUAGAUACCCGGGUAGUC
rnacentral:rRNA from 1 species